ensembl:snoRNA
GGUGGCAGUGAUGAGUUGCACUAUUACCCAGGUUGCUGUUGCAGUGGCACAGCAGGCCUGUCCUGACACAAUGUGUUGACACCUAUUGUGCACAGGGGCCAUCUGAGUCGCC